rnacentral:lncRNA from 1 species
GAUAAGAACGAAUAUAGCAAGGGCGACUUUGCUUUAUGUGAAAAGCAUGUUGCCUUAAUCUCGAUGUAUAUAUUCUGUGAUGAAUCUAAACGUCUUCAGACUUUUCACCCUUCCUUUCUUUGGAGGGUUUCUGGAGAGUUCGGUUUCCUGCUCACUCUUUGGUCUUCAACUUCUGUGUUGAUAUUGAGUUUUCUCUUUCAUCUGUUUGGAGAGUGGAUAUUUCUUGGUGAAAUCAGUGAAAGAGUAGAGUGAGAUUAAUGUUGGGAAUUGAUUUAAACAUGCACAGCGGAAUUUAACAGAUUUCAAUUCCCAUUCAGGAUUCAGCUUUGUAUUUAAACAAAAACUGUGAUGAGAAAUAUACCUUUUGUGUGAUUUGCAAACUCUUUCGCGUUAUUCCUUUCCAGCAGCUUGAAUCUGCCUCCCACAGCUGUCCAAUUGUGCAGCCUCCAAUGAAAUCCACACAGAGAGAAAACAGCAACUGCUAGGGUUUCUUUCUUGUGCUAGCAAGAAUAAUGAAUGACUUAAUGGACCUCAAACCCUAGCUGCAUAUAUAUAUAAACCCAAACGGACCCGGCCCGGUC